UACGUAGGGACCAAGCGUUGUCCGGAAUCAUUGGGCGUAAAGAGCGUGUAGGCGGCCAGAUAAGUCCGCUGUGAAAUCUCGAGGCUCAACUUCGAGCUGUCGGUGGAAACUGUCUGGCUAGAGUCCGGAAGAGGAGAAUGGAAUUCCUGGUGUAGCGGUGAAAUGCGCAGAUAUCAGGAAGAACACCCGUGGCGAAGGCGGCUCUCUGGGACGGUACUGACGCUGAGACGCGAAAGCGUGGGGAGCGAACAGG
rnacentral:rRNA from 1 species